UGUCAAUCUAACAGAAACUCUUACACUCCUCUUGAACGACUGACAUCUUGAGUGCUGGCAAGAAUAGAGCAUGCUUAGUCUCUCCGAAACCUGUUAGAAGCUCUUACCCUUGUUCAGAGCUUCAGAAUUGGUAAAGAGACUUGUGUACUACACAGUCUUGCAAUUAGUCAACAUCAGAAUUAGUAACUAGACUUGUGAAGGGCCCUGGGAGUUGCCCGCCAGUUCGAUCCGUCCCAGAGAGACUCGUCAGCGGAGUGCCUCUUAAGACCGCCCCCUCCCCCAGUGAGGCUGCCGGCUGGGAGAGGAGACAGGCUGCCAUCCGGUCCAAGAAGGAGAACCAGCGAUACCUUGCCUAGCUAGCCCGCCGUCUGUCCGGCUAUACCCGCAGAGAGCUGAGGAGGAGGAAUAUCCGAGACCGUCGGAACUCCCGGCGGCGUCUAGACCUGUACCUAGAAAGUUUGCGAUGGAGGGUGGGAACUGAAAGGGCCGGGGUUCAGGACAAAACAGCCAGGAUCUAAAUACCGAUAGCCUGAUUCGUCUGCAGCUUAGAACUGUAUUGUAAAAUGGAUGGUUAAUUCUCAACCUUGGUGUAGCUGGACUACAACUCCCAUAAUCUUGGUCCAGCAUGGUGGCAGAGGAUGAUGGGAGUUAUAGUCCAGUGGAAUCUAGGGGCCCAAGGUUGAGAACCCUGAUCUAUGAACUUGACACCGCUUCCUAUGUCCACUGGGAAACAGGGGAAGUUUGGAGGAGAGGUGGUCUUGUAGUGAGCAUGAAUUGUCCCCUUUCCUAAGCAGGACCUGCCUUGGUUUGCAAUUGCAUGGGCAACUACAUGUGAACGCUCUUAAGAUAUUCCACAGCUGAAAAGUACCUGCAACCCAUGUUUGCAUGCAGGAGGUCCCAGGUAAGGCUGAGAGAGAGACUCCUGCCUAAGCCCUGGGAGAGCUGCUACCAGUCAGAGUAGACAGUACUGAGCUAGAGGGACCAAGGGUCUGACAAUAUGGGGUAAGUAAUGUCCUUUGACUCCAACAGUGUCUUGCCUGCAAGGUUGCCUUUGCUUCCAUGGACAGAGCUGGAAAUCAUGCUCUUUUCAUGAAGCUGGACCCUUCCAAGAAGGGGAACUCGUACACUGCAGCCCCUCUGGGGGCUCUGCACCAAACCCGUCCCUUGGGGCCUUACAGGAAUGUGAGGUGAGUGGAGGGGUGUCAUCGGCACUGGGCAGUCAGCCUGUUGUCGCGGAGAUCCAGCAGAACGAGGUUGGUUGUACUGCUUCUCUCCACCAUCCUGAGUGUGGGGACUUCUCCAGGGAAGCUGUGGGUGGGGGACCGUGAGGUUGGGAUUUUUUUGUUUGUUUUCUGUCAGUAUUGCAGAAAUAAUGUAAGAAAUAAGCUGAAGUGGCGGGGCGGGAAGUGAAUACGUUUAAUUAAAUAUACUUGUGUCCCGCUUUUCCUUCAAAGAGCUUGGGGCUGUGUACAUGUACUGCUCUGAUUAUAUAACAUAAUUUUGUUAUACACAAUAUAAUGUACACAAUUAAGUAAAGUCUUUUUGUAUUAAA